rnacentral:rRNA from 1 species
AACAGACUCCUACGGGAGGCAGCAGUGGGGGGUAUUGGACAAUGGGGGGAACCCUGAUCCAGCGACGCCGCGUGAGUGAAGAAGUAUUUCGGUAUGUAAAGCUCUAUCAGCAGGGAAGAAAAGAAUGACGGUACCUGAAUAAGAAGCCCCGGCUAACUACGUGCCAGCAGCCGCGGUAAUACGUAGGGGGCAAGCGUUAUCCGGAUUUACUGGGUGUAAAGGGGGCGCAGACGGCGAUGCAAGCCAGGAGUGAAAGCCCGGGGCCCAACCCCGGGACUGCUCUUGGAACUGCGUGGCUGGAGUGCAGGAGGGGCAGGCGGAAUUCCUGGUGUAGCGGUGAAAUGCGUAGAUAUCAGGAGGAGCACCGGUGGCGAAGGCGGCCUGCUGGACUGCAACUGACGUUGAGGCCCGAAAGCGUGGGGAGCAAACAGGAUUAGAUACCCGCGUA